AGGAUUAACGCUGGCGGCGUGCAUGAAACAUGCAAGUCGAGCGCGGUACGUGGCUUCGGUCACGUAUCUAGCGGCGCACGGGUGAGUAACACGUGAGCAACCUACCUUCGAGUUCGGGAUAGCCCUGGGAAACCAGGAUUAAUACCGGAUGUGGUCACAACGGGACAUCCCGAUGUGAAAAAAGGCGCAAGCCGCUCGAUGACGGGCUCGCGGCCUAUUAGCUUGUUGGUGGGGUAACGGCCUACCAAGGCGACGAUGGGUAGCUGGUCUGAGAGGACGAUCAGCCACACUGGGACUGAGACACGGCCCAGACUCCUACGGGAGGCAGCAGUUAGGAAUUUUCCGCAAUGGGCGAAAGCCUGACGGAGCAACGCCGCGUGUGUGAUGAAGGCCUUCGGGUUGUAAGCACUGUCGGAGGGAAGAAUGAAUGACGGUACCCUCCAAGAAGCCCGGCUAACUACGUGCCAGCAGCCGC
rnacentral:rRNA from 1 species